rnacentral:rRNA from 1 species
GGAGUUUGAUCCUGGCUCAGAUUGAACGCUGGCGGCAUGCCUUACACAUGCAAGUCGAACGGCAGCACGGGAGCUUGCUCCUGGUGGCGAGUGGCGAACGGGUGAGUAAUGCAUCGGAACGUAUCCUGGAGUGGGGGAUAACGUAGCGAAAGUUACGCUAAUACCGCAUAUUCUGUGAGCAGGAAAGCGGGGGGACCUUCGGGCCUCGCGCUCUUGGAGCGGCCGAUGUCGGAUUAGCUAGUUGGUGAGGUAAAGGCUCACCAAGGCGACGAUCCGUAGCAGGUCUGAGAGGAUGAUCUGCCACACUGGAACUGAGACACGGUCCAGACUCCUACGGGAGGCAGCAGUGGGGAAUUUUGGACAAGUGGGGGCAACCCUGAUCCAGCCAUGCCGCGUGAGUGAAGAGG